GUUUAUUACAGGAUAUUGAGUAUAGUUCCCUGUGCUAUACAGUAGGACUCUGUUGUGUAUCCAAGUUAUAUAUUAUCUCAAACUCCUAAUAUCUCCCUCCCUCAUCCCCUUUCCCCUUUGGUUACUGUAAGUUUGUUUCCUGUCUGUGAAUUUGUUUCCGUUUGGUAAACAGGUUCAUUUGUGUCAUAUUUUAGAUCCUACAAAUAAGUGAUAUCAAUAGUAUUUGUCUUUCUCUUUCUGACUUACUCCACUUAGUAUGAUAAUGUCUAGGUCCACUCAUGUUGCUGCAAAUAUAUUAUGUGAUAUAUACAGAUAUAUUACAUCUUCUCUGUCCAGUCCCCUGUUGGUGGACAUGGAGGUUGCUUCCAUGUCUUGGCUAUUGUAAAUAGUGCUGCAGUGAACAUUGAGAUGCAUGUAUCAUUUCAAAUUAGCAUUUUCUGGAUAUAUGUCCAGGAGUGGGAUUGCUAGAUCCUAUGGCAAUGUUAUUUUUAGUGUUUUAAGGAACCCUCCGUCCUGUUCUCUAUAGUGGCCACACCAAUUUACAUUCCUGCCAGCAGUGUAGAAGGAUUGCCUUUUCUCCCCACCCUCUCCAGCAUUUGUUUGUAGACUUUUUAAUGACGUUAAGGAGAAUUUCUUUGGCCUGACCUCUCCAUCUUUCCCCUCCUCUAUCGCUGCACCUCUCAAGGCACUCAAGGCCCAACUUACCCCAGACUUCCUCCCUCCCGGAAGGGUCUCCUGACCUCUCCAGCCUCAUAGCCUGCUCGCACUGACCUCCAACCAGCCUGCUGCAAAGCUCUAGGCUCACAUUUAGGGCGUUCCUGCCUCCUGUCAGUCACCGAGGCUGGUAAGUGCUCCCACAUGCCCACUCCCUGAAAGACAGACGAGGCAACCCCAUUGAAAGGGAAGACACAGGCUCAGCGAGGUUCCGUAACGUCCCCCAGAUUACCUAGCUGGUUAGUGAAAUAACCGAGACUUAAAUUCAAGACUGACAACCGACCUCAAAACCUUUGCUCUAAACCAGGAGCCAGCAAACUAUACGGGCCUGAAGGCCAAAUUCUGCCCACUAUCUGUUUUUCUACAGCUUGAGAGCUAAAAAUGGUUUUCACAUGACCGGGGGGGGUGGGGAUCAAAAGAAACAUAAGAUUUUGGCACAUGUGAAAAUCACAGGAAACUAACAUUUCAGUGUCCAUUAAUAACGUUUUAUUGGACAUGGUGGUGUGGUGGUUGUUUUCAUCAUGGCAUGCAGCAGCUUGAUGUGGGAUCUCAGUUCCCAGACCAGGGAUUGAACCCAGGCUGCAGCGGUAAAAGCACUGAGUCCUAACCACUAGACCACCAGGGAACUCCCUUAAUAAAGUUUUCUUGGCGCACACCAACACCCAUUCAUUUAGAUCUCUUUGAUGGCUUUUUCGUGAACUACAGUGGCAGAGCUGAGUCGUAGUGACAGGGACCAGCCUACAAGGGUUCCCAUUUGGCCCUUCACAGAAGACCUUUGCCGACCCCUGCUCCGAAAGGCACCAUUGAUGAGCCACAGCUCCACGGAGUUCUGAACACCCUGCCUGCCUUGACAGGCUGCUGUCUUUCUCUGGGUGCUGAGCCCACUGUAGGAUCUCAGAGGGAAAACAAAAUAGAUUUUAGCCCCCUUUGGACUUCCAGGUACUAAAGAUGUGCACCAGAAGUUCCCGUCGUGGCACAGCGGAAACGACCCCGACUAGGAACCGUGAGGUUGUGGGUUCGAUCCCUGGCCUUGUUCAAAAGGGCUUUGUUGUUCACUUUUUAGAAAUGAUAUGCUAUAGAGGGUUUAGCAAGCAGAGAGUUAUGUUGUCCAUAACUUAUUAUGGCUAAUGUUACUUCUACACUAAUCUUGCCUUUUUUUGUUGAGGGGAAGUGGGAGAGGAGAGGCCGAGAGGAGGAGAAAUACUCGAAGUGCUACAGCAGUAGUUUUCAGACUUCGCCUCCCGGGUCAGGGUUGGGGCCUGAGAAUCUGCAUUUCGCACAGAGUCCCAGGCGGCACCCCUCUGAGGACUCCUCCACUCUGUCAAAAGGCCUAGAAGACCGCUGGGCAGCUAUAGGAGGUGGGGCCAGGGCUUCCUUGCCUGAGGGGGGGGCAGGGGGAGCACGGAAAGUUCUUACUGUCCCAGCAGACCCGUUUCUUGAAGGAAGGGACAGGCUCCCAGGACCCCAGGGAUCAGCCUGGUUGGCCCCAGACCCAGAAUGUAUGGGGGUGAAGGCCUAGUCAAAGGCUCCCCCCACCCCACCCCCCUCAGAGAGGGGACUGAGGCUGGAAAGGCGGGGAAGGGCUGGGUUUCCCCAGAUCAAAGCUGGUUCCCCAGCCUUUGAUUCGCAAACAAGCAGACUCUUUAGAGGCUGGCCCGGAGUUUGGGGCAGGCUGGCCUUGGGGCCUGGGGUGAGUGGUCAGAGGCCCCCAGCCCGCUCUCUUUUUGCAUAACAGCUUGGCUGUCUAACAAAAGGACAGUCCUUGAAAGGCCGUAUGGGGCUGUUAAAAGCUUCCGGCAAUGGUUUAAUUGGGGGCGAUUAAAGUGUCCACCCCAGGAAGGCCUGCCCUUCAAAGGCCAACCAGGCCUGGCUCCCCUGCCCUCAGCACCUCUCCCCUCGGCCACGCCCCCGGUGGUAGCCCUGCCCCCAGCCUCUCCCCUCCGCCCCCUCAGCUACCCUGUGGCUCCCUGCCGACUGAGGAAGUCAGGGACAGGGACCCUUUGGCCAGCCUGUCUGGGGGGAUUCCGUCCUGGCCCCUGGACCAUCAGGACCAUUUGUUCGCACAGUUUGGUCUCGUGGCUGAGUCAGUGUGGGAGGUGGGGAAGGCUGAGUCGGAGACAGAAAGGGCCCCAGACUGGUCCACCCGGCUCACUCUGGCUGCCUCAGGACACCUAGCCUGCCUGGUCUCUGGCCCCUCCUUGAGCUCCCUUACCAGCCCCUCUCCCCAAGGCCCUGGCCCAUCUGCAACUUCAUGGUCACCGUUGGGGGACCCACACAUUAAUCUUCCAGACAUGACCUGAGAGGUGCUGGGGACUCAGAGGUGACCAGACAGGAACCAUGACUCAUAAAGGUGCCGGAUAAGUGAACAGGCAGAAGCAACAGGGCGCAAUAUAGGUAAAAUGAGGUGAGCUAUAAGCAGGGCCCCUGCCUCUGGUGGGGCUCAGGGAGCAGAGGGGCAAGCAACAUGACCUUCUGGAAGCAACAGAGCCUACAGUGAGAACAGGGCCACUCAGUCUGGCUCAUUUGCCAACCAUGAUGGGAAGAGCUACACCACAGCUGGUUUCACUAAAAGACCUGACCCACCCAACCAGUUGGAGGAUCCUUGGAAGGGGAAGUGGGUAGAGGUUCCAUCAAGUCUCGAAAUCAUUGUUCUGUGGGUAUCUGGCUCAGACAACUCCCCAGAG
rnacentral:lncRNA from 1 species